CAAAUACAGAAGGAAAGGUAAAUAUGCAAGAAAGACGAAUAAAACGAAAUCUAUGUCACAGAUCGCUGCUUCUUGCCUUUUCUGUUCUGAAUUUU
rnacentral:ribozyme from 18 species